GUACUGCUGAGGAGUCCCACAAUAGGACGAAGUGACCGUCCAGUGC
rnacentral:hammerhead_ribozyme from 1 species